UAACAACUCACCUGCCGAAUGAACUAGCCCUGAAAAUGGAUGACGCUUAAGCGGGUUGCCGACACCAAACCGUUUUGGUAAGAAGCGACCAAAAUGAGUAGGAGGGCGUGGCGGUUUUGUUGAGAAGGAUGAGACGCAAGUCUAUCUGAAACGGCCGCUAGUGCAGAUCUUGGUGGUAGUAGCAAAUAUUCAAGCGAGAUCCUUGAAGGGCGAAGCGGGGAAGGGUUCCACGCGAACAUUGAUUGGGCGUGGGUGAGUCGUGCCUAAGCCGGGUGGUAAUCGUUCUUACGAUCGGCGAAAGGGAAGCGGGUUAAAAUUCUCGCACACGGAUGUGGAGGCGGUGACGCAAAUUGAGGUGGAGACGUUAGCGAUGGCACUGGGCAGAGUUGUCUUUUCUGUUUAACCUGUGGUGGCACUCUGUGGAAUCCGAUUAUCGGGAGAAACAGGUGCUUAUGGGAAGAGCGUCGGGGCGUCCCCGGCGUCCAGUACGCCAUCGAUAGCCCUUGAAAAUCCAUCUGCAAUGAAAUUUCACGCCGUGGCGUACCGAUAACCGCAUCAGGUCCCCAAGGUGAACAGCCUCUGCUCAAUAUGAACAAU
rnacentral:rRNA from 1 species